AUUGAACGCUGGCGGCAGGCUUAACACAUGCAAGUCGAGCGGAGAUGAGGUGCUUGCACCUUAUCUUAGCGGCGGACGGGUGAGUAAUGCUUAGGAAUCUGCCUAUUAGUGGGGGACAACAUUCCGAAAGGAAUGCUAAUACCGCAUACGCCCUACGGGGGAAAGCAGGGGAUCUUCGGACCUUGCGCUAAUAGAUGAGCCUAAGUCGGAUUAGCUAGUUGGUGGGGUAAAGGCCUACCAAGGCGACGAUCUGUAGCGGGUCUGAGAGGAUGAUCCGCGACACUGGGACUGAGACACGGCCCAGACUCCGACGGGAGGCAGCAGUGGGGAAUAUUGGACAAUGGGCGGAAGCCUGAUCCAGCCAUGCCGCGUGUGUGAAGAAGGCCUUUUGGUUGUAAAGCACUUUAAGCGAGGAGGAGGCUACCUGGAUUAAUACUCUAGGAUAGUGGACGUUACUCGCAGAAUAAGCACCGGCUAACUCUGUGCCAGCCGCCGCCGUAAAAC
rnacentral:rRNA from 1 species